GGAGUUAGCCGGUGCUUCUUCUGUGAGUGAUGUCCUUCCUGCCGGCUAUUAACCCGCAGGCCUUCUUCCUCACUGAAAGUGCUUUACAACCCGAAGGCCUUCUUCACACACGCGGCAUGGCUGGAUCAGGGUUGCCCCCAUUGUCCAAUAUUCCCCACUGCUGCCUCCCGUAGGAGUCUGGGCCGUGUCUCAGUCCCAGUGUGGCUGAUCAUCCUCUCAGACCAGCUACGGAUCGUCGCCUUGGUGAGCCGUUACCUCACCAACCAGCUAAUCCGACAUAGGCUCAUCCGAUAGCGCGAGGCCCGAAGGUCCCCCGCUUUCCCCCGUAGGGCGUAUGCGGUAUUAGCCUGGGUUUCCCCAGGUUAUCCCCCACUACCGGGCAGAUUCCUAUGCAUUACUCACCCGUCCGCCGCUCGCCACCAGGGAGCAAGCUCCCCGUGCUGCCGCUCGACUUGCAUGUGUUAGCNGCCGCCAGCGUCAUCUGAGCAGAUACAACUACUGA
rnacentral:rRNA from 1 species